GUCUCUGGGUCACCUCCCACCCGUGUUUAUUGUACCUUGUUGCUUCGGUGCGCCCGCCUCACGGCCGCCGGGGGGCUUCUGCCCCCGGGUCCGCGCGCACCGGAGACACCAUUGAACUCUGUCUGAAGAUUGCAGUCUGAGCAUAAACUAAAUAAGUUAAAACUUUCAACAACGGAUCUCUUGGUUCCGGCAUCGAUGAAGAACGCAGCGAAAUGCGAUAACUAAUGUGAAUUGCAGAAUUCAGUGAAUCAUCGAGUCUUUGAACGCACAUUGCGCCCCCUGGUAUUCCGGGGGGCAUGCCUGUCCGAGCGUCAUUGCUGCCCUCAAGCACGGCUUGUGUGUUGGGCUCCGUCCCCCCGGGGACGGGCCCGAAAGGCAGCGGCGGCACGAGUCCGGUCCUCGAGCGUAUGGGGCUUUGUCACCCGCUCUGUAGGCCCGGCCGGCGCCAGCCGACAACCCAUCAUCCUUUUCAGGUUGACCUCGGAUCAGGUAGGGAUACCCGCUGAACUUAAGCAUAUCAAUAAGCGGAGGA
rnacentral:rRNA from 1 species